rnacentral:rRNA from 1 species
UACGUAGGGUGCAAGCGUUGUCCGGAAUUAUUGGGCGUAAAGAGCUCGUAGGCGGUCUGUCGCGUCGGCUGUGAAAACUCGGGGCUCAACCCCGAGCCUGCAGCCGAUACGGGCAGACUAGAGUUCGGUAGAGGAGACUGGAAUUCCUGGUGUAGCGGUGAAAUGCGCAGAUAUCAGGAGGAACACCGGUGGCGAAGGCGGGUCUCUGGGCAGUAACUGACGCUGAGGAGCGAAAGCGUGGGGAGCGAACAGG